rnacentral:rRNA from 1 species
CCUACGUGAGGCAGCAGUGGGGAAUAUUGCGCAAUGGGCGAAAGCCUGACGCAGCGACGCCGCGUGAGGGAUGAAGGUCUUCGGAUCGUAAACCUCUGUCAGCAGAGAAGAACGGUCACUGUGCUAAUCAGCAGUGAAUUGACGGUACCUGCAAAGGAAGCACCGGCUAACUCCGUGCCAGCAGCCGCGGUAAUACGGAGGGUGCGAGCGUUAAUCGGAAUUACUGGGCGUAAAGCGCUCGUAGGCGGUAUGUCAAGUCAAGGGUGAAAUCCCCGCGCUCAACGUGGGAACUGCCUUUGAAACUGGCAAACUGGAGUGUGUGAGAGGAUAGUGGAAUUCCAGGUGUAGGAGUGAAAUCCGUAGAUAUCUGGAGGAACAUCAGUGGCGAAGGCGACUAUCUGGCACAUAACUGACGCUGAGGAGCGAAAGCGUGGGUAGCAAACAGGAUUAGAUACCCUAGUAGUC